UUCUGUGUCUGUGGUGUCUGGUGGAGCGGUCGCUUUGGUGCGACGCAAGAAGUUGUUCCGGCGAUCUUUGAGAGCCUGCGGAGGAAAAUACGAAGCAGCUAACCGAGCCAGCACGCAACGCGUAUCGAAGAAAGAAGUACACUGAAGACAAUUGAAGUUGUAAAAUAAAAAUCGUUUAUUCUUGUGUCUCCUUAAUUAAACCCUCGUCCUAGUACAA